GUGCUCGCUUCGGCAAUAUAUAUACUAAAAUUGGAACGAUACAGAGAAGAUUAGCAUGGACCUUGCGCAAGGGUGACACACAAAUUUGUGAAGCGUUCCAUACUUAA
rnacentral:snRNA from 1 species